GACGAACGCUGGCGGCGUGCUUAACACAUGCAAGUCGAACGGAAAUGCUCUGCUUUUGUGGGGUGCUCGAGUGGCGAACGGGUGAGUAACACGUGAGUAACCUGCCCUUGACUUUGGGAUAACUUCAGGAAACUGGGGCUAAUACCGGAUAGGAGCUCCUGCUGCAUGGUGGGGGUUGGAAAGUUUCGGCGGUUGGGGAUGGACUCGCGGCUUAUCAGCUUGUUGGUGGGGUAGUGGCUUACCAAGGCUUUGACGGGUAGCCGGCCUGAGAGGGUGACCGGCCACAUUGGGACUGAGAUACGGCCCAGACUCCUACGGGAGGCAGCAGUGGGGAAUAUUGCACAAUGGGCGGAAGCCUGAUGCAGCAACGCCGCGUGUGGGAUGACGGCCUUCGGGUUGUAAACCGCUUUCGCCUGUGACGAAGCGUGAGUGACGGUAAUGGGUAAAGAAGCACCGGCUAACUACGUG
rnacentral:rRNA from 1 species